UGGGGAAUAUUGCACAAUGGGCGGAAGCCUGAUGCAGCGACGCCGCGUGAGGGAUGACGGCCUUCGGGUUGUAAACCUCUUUCGACAGGGACGAAGCGUGAGUGACGGUACCUGUAGAAGAAGCACCGGCCAACUACGUGCCAGCAGCCGCGGUAAUACGUAGGGUGCGAGCGUUGUCCGGAAUUACUGGGCGUAAAGAGCUUGUAGGCGGUUCGUCGCGUCGAUCGUGAAAACUUGCAGCUCAACUGUGGGCGUGCGGUCGAUACGGGCGGACUAGAGUGCUGCAGGGGAGACUGGAAUUCCUGGUGUAGCGGUGAAAUGCGCAGAUAUCAGGAGGAACACCGGUGGCGAAGGCGGGUCUCUGGGCAGUAACUGACGCUGAGAAGCGAAAGCGUGGGUAGCGAACA
rnacentral:rRNA from 1 species